CUGGGACAAAGACUGACGCUCAGGUGCGAAAGCGUGGGGAGCAAACAAGGAUUAGAUACCCUGGUAGUCCCCCCGUAAACGAUGUCGACUUGGAGGGUUGUGCCCUUGAGGCGUGGCCUUCCGGAACUAACGCGUUAAGUCGACCGCCUGGGGAGUACGGGCCGCAAGGUUAAAACUCAAAUGAAUUGACGGGGGCCCGCACAAGCGGUGGAGCAUGUGGUUUAAUUCGAUGCAACCGCGAAGAACCUUACCUACUCUUGACAUCCAGAGAACUUUGCAGAGAUGCUUUGGUGCCUUCGGGAACUCUGAGACAGGUGCUGCAUGGCUGUCGUCAGCUCGUGUUGUGAAAUGUUGGGUUAAGUCCCGCAACGAGCGCAACCCUUAUCCUUUGUUGCCAGCGGUCCGGCCGGGAACUCAAAGGAGACUGCCAGUGAUAAACUGGAGGAAGGUGGGGAUGACGUCAAGUCAUCAUGGCCCUUACGAGUAGGGCUACACACGUGCUACAAUGGCGCAUACAAAGAGAAGCGACCUCGCGAGAGCAAGCGGACCUCAUAAAGUGCGUCGUAGUCCGGAUUGGAGUCUGCAACUCGACUCCAUGAAGUCGGAAUCGCUAGUAAUCGUGGAUCAGAAUGCCACGGUGAAUACGUUCCCGGGCCUUGUACACACCGCCCGUCACACCAUGGGAGUGGGUUGCAAAAGAAGUAGGUAGCUUUUCUUCGGGACCACGCUACGACUGGUAUGACUAAGUUUUUCCCCCUAGC
rnacentral:rRNA from 1 species